CUGACUGGAGAAUGCUAUCAGAAAGAUAUCUUUGUAAUGGUAAAUGAGAAACAAGAAUGAGGAGGGGCAAGGGAAGGAGCAGAAGAAAGAGGAGAGUAAUAGGGAUGGUGCAAGCAGAACAGUAUAUAUAGAGACACAGAUUAUCGGAAAACUGAGCUGUGGACAAUACCUGCGGGUUGGAAAUAGGAACAGAUGUGAGACUUACUCAGUGGAACUGUAAAGACAGAAAAAAGAAAAGUGAGGAUAGAGGGCUGUCCACUGCAAGAAGUGAGAAGCCUGUCUUGAACCUCUACAAAGAACAUACUGUUGUGGUUUGUGAAGAAUCUGAUCCUUCAGAGGAUGAGGAAGGGGAUUUUGUGGGGUCUCAAGAGGCAGUUUUGAAGGAUGGAAGUGGCAUGGAGAAUUCUCAGGAUGUUAGACAACUCUCUGUAACCCCCUGAAAAACUACACUGAAGAGUUCUCCAGACCUCUUGAGAGUACGUGGAAGGGAAUACAAGUGUGAGAGCCUGUCACUGGUAGUUUUACUAACAAAGACUGAUGUUUCCAGUUCAAAAAUCUCAAGUGCGGGAAGGAAUUGCAAUGGAAAUCCUACUUCUGAUUGCCAUACUAUAGAUCACUGGUGCAAGUCACAGAAACUUCUGUCUACUGUUAUCUGUAUGUUGGCUAGAGUGGAAAAGUGUCAGUGGUGGCUGGAGAGGUGCUGGUCUCUCUGCAGAAUCAUCCUUGACUUAAGUACAAGUCAUAUCCACAUUCAUAAUUUUGGCUUCCAAACUUGUCAUGGACUUAUACAUGCGUCCAACUUAUACCUUGUAUUACUUCAUUUUAUAAUUAUUAACCUGGGACUAUUUUACACUACAAUCUAGCUCUGUAAUUCUAUUUUAACUAGCAUGGUAAAAAAAAAUACUGUGGAAUCCUGCGAUUCAUAGUUUGAUGAAGCAGUAAAACUCCAAGAAUUCUAUGUACCCUAGAAUUCUACAACAUGGAAGCAUGAAAGUUACAGGGGAAUCAAGAGACUUGCUUUCCCCACCUCAAUAUGUGGGUGGGAUAGCACUUUGCUCCCUUGCAGUGAAUUGAAAGUUAUAAAAUAGUCCCGGGCAGGACUUGUUGGGUAUCAAUAUCCUCUGGAAUUGGGUCGGAAUUAUCCAUCUAUUUGCCUUAAAGGUCACCCUGGAAUCACCAGCUGUUGCAGCUGGGGACCAUGGUGUCUUACCCUUGAUAGAUGAAUAGGUCUUGAAUGGCCACUGCCUUGGUUUACUUACACACCAAAUUCAUGCCCUUGAAUUGGUUGGCAGUUCACAUAGAAAAUGAUUGGUAACAUUUAAUAAAAGUUAACCCACA